GACGAACCGUGCGAACGUUGUUCGGAUUCACUGGGCUUAAAGGGCGCGUAGGCGGGUGGUCAAGUCAGAGGUGAAAUCCUCCAGCUUAACUGGAGAAGUGCCCCUGAUACUGGCCAUCUCGAGGGAGGUAGGGGCAUGUGGAACUUCCGGUGGAGCGGUGAAAUGCGUAGAUAUCGGAAGGAACGCCGGUGGCGAAAGCGGCGCGCUGGACCUCUUCUGACGCUGAGGCGCGAAAGCUAGGGGAGCAAACGGG
rnacentral:rRNA from 1 species